rnacentral:rRNA from 1 species
UAAGGAAUAUUGGACAAUGGAGGCAACUCUGAUCCAGCCAUCCCGCGUGGAGGAAUAAGGCCCUAUGGGUUGUAAACUCCUUUAGCUAGGGAAUAAAUCAGUGGAUUCAUCCGCUGUUGAAGGUACCUAGAGAAUAAGCACCGGCUAACUCCGUGCCAGCAGCCGCGGUAAUACGGAGGGUGCAAGCGUUAUCCGGAUUUACUGGGUUUAAAGGGUGCGUAGGCGGGUCAUUAAGUCAGAUGUGAAAGCCUCAAGCUCAACUUGAGAACUGCGUUUGAUACUGGUGGCCUUGAAUGCGAUAGAAGUGGGCGGAACAAAUCGUGUAGCGGUGAAAUGCUUAGAUAUGAUUUGGAACACCAAUUGCGAAGGCAGCUCACUAUGCCGUUAUUGACGCUGAGGC